rnacentral:rRNA from 1 species
GACGAACGCUGGCGGCGUGCUUAACACAUGCAAGUCGAACGGAAAGGCCUGCUUUCCCUUGUGGAUUGCGGGUGCUCGAGUGGCGAACGGGUGAGUAACACGUGAGUGAUCUGCCCCCAACUUGGGUAUAAGCCUGGGAAACUGGGUCUAAUUCCCGAUAGGACUGCAGGGUGGUGCCUGUGGUGGAAAACGAUUUUCUAGUGGUUGGGGAUGAGCUCGCGGCCUAUCAGCUUGUUGGUGGGGUAAUGGCCUACCAAGGCGGCGACGGGUAGCCGGCCUGAGAGGGUGGACGGCCACAUUGAGACUGAGAUACGGCCCAGACUCCUACGGGAGGCAGCAGUGGGGAAUAUUGCACAAUGGGCGGAAGCCUGAUGCAGCGACGCCGCGUGGGGGAUGACGGCCUUCGGGUUGUAAACUCCUUUCGACCGCGAGGAAGCCACCUGGUUGGAAGGGUGGUGACGGUAGUGGUAGAAGAAGCACCGGCUAACUACGUG